CUUAAAUUGAAGAAAGCAGGGAAAUCCACUAGCCCAUUCAGUGGAAGGUAUGGAACAGUGAGGUGACUGAAGAUCAGAGAAGCUAGAAUUCUCACCCUCUUCUGUGGCUGGAAAACCCUGCAAGAAGGCCUGUACUUUGCCAUAUAACAAGAGUAACUGUGACCUGACUUGAGUUAUAACAACUUUUCUGACCUUAACACCCUGUUCCUUGACAGUGCUUUAGGAAAGGAAUUGGGACCCUGAGAGGGAAACUGGAAGAAGUGUCAAGAAAGAAGGAACCUUACAACAUGGCAGAGCCAGAUUAUAUAGUACAGCAUAGUCAUGCAGGAAUUUUAGAUACAUU